AGGAAAAUGGAAGUUUAGUUCUGCUACAUCAAAGAUUUCAGGAUUAAAAUAACUAAAUGAGUCUUUAUGCCUCAAACUUUAUUUGACAAUAAAGAAAUAAUGAAAUAAUCACAGAUAAUCAAAAUAUAAAUAGCAGAGAAAACCUGAGAGAAUAAUUUCCUGAAAAGUCUGUGAAGGAAAAGCAGCUUUUUAUCCUGAAAGGUCAGAAUCAGCUCCAACAUCUGCAUCUGACAGCAUCAAGUCAACCAGAAAGAAAAGAAAAAAGAAAAUGACUUCUUUCUGAUCACAUCUGUUCUGCUGCUGCUCACAUUCUUCACAUUUCUAGUCCACUUUUAAAAGUUCAGCAGACAGGUGCUCUGCUUUGGAGUGUGACGAUGUCGUCGGUGAUGUGGAGAGUCAAGUUUCCGUUUCAGCCACAGCGUGCUUUAGGUCACGUAGUUGAUGAAGGCGUUCUGGAGCAGGACCAGAAAGACCACGACCAAGCAGCCUUGAGAUCUUAGGCAGCAUCUCCCUCAGGUCCCUCUCUAUCUCCCCACACAUCCACCAACCACUGGAACACAUCUCCAAAGUUCUGCUGGGCCAGCUCAGCUUCCCCUCAGAAGAAGUGCUGCCACCUGCCAGAUGAAGGAGCCUUUUGAGAGGCAGCUGGCAUCGUGAUUGGACUGUACUUUGGUCUGUUCCAGUCCAGCUUCAGCUCCAGAGACGGCAGGCGGGACGAGUCAACGGAGGCCUGGUGGACGAAGGCAUGAAGCUGAGUACAAUCCAGAAAACAACAGAGGAGGAGUGCAGCAGCCCAGAGCCAGAACAAGCAGAACCAAAGAACUACAGACUCUUCACAACCUGCUCAAACUCUUGGUACAGGACCUCACCACACGGGUCAAGAAGGUUUCCGUCUCAUUUCUACUCUGAAGCUCACCUUCUCCUGCUCAAACUGCUGACAAAUGUUUCUGCUGCUCUAAAGUCUGGUCUCCAGAACUUCCUAAAAACUCUCAAAGUCUCUUCUGCUGCAGGUUGCUUUGUAGAACUGUUCCAGAAAACCUCACUAAACCACAUGGAGGAGCCUCAAGAUAGUCGUCCAAAUGAAACCGUACAAAAACCAAACUAGCAAAACCCAAACGCUAAAGUCUCCUGCAGCCUACCAGAGAACCUCUGAGAACAGAGAAUCAGGACAGGAACUCUUACCUUCUGGACAACCAACGCUGGUUCUCAAACAAGAAUACAGAAUGUGUCUGACCAGAAACCUCUAAAGACUCACUACAGCCAAGAUAAAGACACAACUCAGCUGCACCAAAUCCACUAAUCACUGCACACAUUAGCACCAUGUACUAACUGUGGCUAAAGAACCUCAUUUACCAAGACAACUAUCCAGUACAAAGCCCUGAAACACACCAAGAAACACAUUAAAGACGAUUUUACUGCUGGAAGCUGCAAGCCAACACCUAAAGAACAAACUAAAGCAACAGAACCAAACCCGGUUCACUGGUGAAGAGAAGCAGAGGAAAUGUUUGUCUGCAGCUAAAUAAAGCAGGAAGACACUGAGCUGCUCAGGUGUUCCUGAUAAUACCAAGCAGCCACCUGGACAGCCAAUAGGAACACAGCCACCUGGACAGCCAAUAGGAACACAGCUUCCUGGAAGUCCAGAGGGCGGGGUUAGUCAAGGAAAUUUAGUUUAAAGUUGAAGCAGAAAGUAAACAAAGAAAG